UGUAAAGAGCAGAGGGGAACAGCACGUCAUUUCGUUAUUUACGUUUCCUGCGUGCAAAGGAAGGGCAGUAAAGCAGGUGGGAGCUCCGAAGCAGAGCCAGGAGACCGUGACGCCCAGCGAGACCCGGCCGUGCUUUCCUCACCACCUGCACGUGGGACUUCUUGGAGACUCACGGGAAUAUAGAGUUUUUAAACGUUUACUAUGGAAUCACUUUAGAUUUACACAAGAUUUGCAAAGACAGUACCGAGAGUUCCCGUAUACCUACACCCAUUUGUCCCCAGAGUUAACAUCUUACACAACCAUAGUCACAUUGGUCACCAUGAAGAAGUCAACACUGGUACAGUGCUGUUAACUACACUCUGGAUUUUAUCUGGGUUUUACUAGUUCGGGAACUAUAUGUGUUUACGGUUUAUAUUUUUUACUAUAAAAAUAAUGCAUGCUCACUAUUGUAAAAUGUUGAAAGAUUUGACAUUUAUCCUUGUAGACAAGUUGGAAAAUACAAAAAAGUUUAGAAAAGAAUUGAUAACCCGUAGUUCACCCAGAGACAACCAUCGUUAGCAUCUUAGUGUAUUUCCUUCCGGUCUUUAUUCUAUAAGUCAUUUUCAUUUGUUUGAUGUAAUCAAAUCACUAUUUUUUAAUGCAAUUUUGUUAAAAAAAAAAAAGCUAUAUUUAAUAGACUAGCUUUUUGGGGGGAGGGGUUUUUUGUUUUUAAUUUUUAUUGGCGUAUAGUUGAUUUACAAUGUUGUGUUAGUUUCAGGUGUACAGCACACUAGUUUUAAAUGCAGAUAUGCAAAGAGCUGCAGUGAUUUUUCUCUCCCUAGUGGUAGAGCACUUCACUUAGGUUCAAUUUCUGCAACCCACAGCUGAUCAUCAAGUGACCUUUCUGUUAAGGUGUGUUUCUUUCUUCUCAUUCUGCCCGUGAGGGACCCACAGGGCGGCAUGAGGGGCCUGGAGACUUGCCUCGGGGCACGUUUCCUUGAGGAUGGGAUGGGGGCUGGAAUGCAGGUCCCCUGCCUUGGCCGGGAGGUCUGUCCAGUGCAUUCUGCUGACUCACAAGAUCCCUUUCACCCAGUUCUUCCUGAUGCAUUUGACUCACUUCCUGUGCUCUCCUUCCUGUUUACUGCCCAAGUGGGAGAAGACACAGGCCCAGACAUCACGGGGAGGGCCCAGGCUCCCAGGACGGCUCAGUCCACAUCCAUCCCUUCCCCUCGGCUGCCCUUUCCUUUCCUGAUCCCGUCUCCCCUCCGCAGUUUUCCAAGGCCACUCGGGUCCUCUGGGGCGCGCCCAUGGCAGACUCAGGAGGAGCCCAGACAGAAGUGAAACGUCCCCUGGUCCCGGCUUUGAGCUGGCAGACGUUGGCCAAGGACUCGUACAGCCCAUAGUUGAGAUGGGGUUGGCCACGAGGACGAGCAGCAGAGGCAAGUACGUGGUGACAUAGUGGGGGAUGGCGUGCUCCAGACCCCUGUCACACCUGAGGGAGGAAAGCCGGGUCAUUCUCCAAAACACCGGGGCUUUGCCUGAGAUACGCUGACUCAUCUGCAAGUCGAGACAAGAGGACCAGAUCGAAGGAAACACACAGAUCGGCUUCUGACUCUGCCCGAAGGAAACCUGACUCCUAUCUCACGUCUGCGGACAAGCGAUCAAUCUCAGAAGAAGGAGGGUCACUCAUGGUUCUGUGUGUCUCGUGAAUCAGGGAGCUUUCAAAGUUCCCUGCUGGGAAAAGCUGAAGAGGGGAAAAGGCGCUCUGGGGUGGUGGAUCCCCCCCAACUCCCCCACUGGGUCUCUCAAACAAGUGGGUCUCCCCCAUUUGUCUUUCAAACAAGACAAAGGCGUUCUACGAACCUGCUGGGUUUUCGGCACUUACUACGCAUGUGCUAAGUCUGGCUGACAUCACGCAUAGGAUCCAAGCUCUGUCCUCGACCAGCUCAAAAUACCCGAGCCUCACACGGCACAGGAUAUCUGUUGUCAUGGUGACAGGUAUGAAGUGCUCACACCAGAGGGGAAAGUGGCUGAAAGUGCAUGGAAACAGGG